GACGUAGGGCGCAAGCGUUGUCCGGAUUUAUUGGGCGUAAAGAGCUCGUAGGCGGCUUGUCGCGUCGUUCGUGAAAACUUGGGGCUCAACCCCAAGCUUGCGGUCGAUACGGGCAGGCUAGAGUUCGGUAGGGGAGACUGGAAUUCCUGGUGUAGCGGUGAAAUGCGCAGAUAUCAGGAGGAACACCGGUGGCGAAGGCGGGUCUCUGGGCCUUACCUGACGCUCAGGCGCGAAAGCUAGGGGAGCGAACAGG
rnacentral:rRNA from 1 species